rnacentral:rRNA from 1 species
GUGGGGAAUAUUGGGCAAUGGGGGAAACCCUGACCCAGCGACGCCGCGUGAGGGAAGAAGGCCUUAGGGUCGUAAACCUCUGUUGUGUGGGAAGAAGAGCGUGACGGUACCACACGAGGAAGUCCCGGCUAACUACGUGCCAGCAGCCGCGGUAAUACGUAGGGGACGAGCGUUGUCCGGAUUUACUGGGCGUAAAGGGCGCGUAGGCGGUCAUUUAAGUCAGCUGUGAAAUGGUUUGGCUUAACCGGAUCAUGCGGUUGAAACUGGAUGACUGGAGUGCUGGAGAGGCAAGGGGAAUUCCCAGUGUAGCGGUGAAAUGCGUAGAUAUUGGGAAGAACACCGGUGGCGAAGGCGACUUGCUGGCCAGCAACUGACGCUGAGGCGCGAAAGCCAGGGGAGCAAACGGGAUUAGAUACCCUAGUAGUCC